rnacentral:rRNA from 1 species
CUGCCAGUAGUCAUAUGCUCGUCUUAAAGAUUAAGCCAUGCAUGUCUAAGUAUAAGCAAUUUUUACUGCGAAACUGCGGAUGGCUCAUUAAAACAGUUAUGGUUUCUUUGAAAUUUUUCUAUAGUUGGAUAACUGUGGAAAAUCUAGAGCUAAUACAUGAAAAAGAAUCCGCAAGGAUUUUUUUAUUAGCAGAAAAGCCAAGCCAAUUUAUUGGCCUUUGGUGAAACAUAAUAACCAAAAAAACCGCAAGUCUUUGCACUGCGGUGGUUCAUUUAAGUUUCUGAUCCAUCAACUAGAUUGUAGUGUAUUGGACUACAAUGGUUUUGACGGAUGCGGGGAAUUAGGGUUCGAUUCCGGAGAGACCGCCUGAGAAACGGCGAUCACUUCUAAGGAAGGCAGCAGGCGCGCAAAUUACCCAAUCUCAAUUCGAGGAGGUAGUGACAAGAAAUAACAAUGCAUGUUGCUUUAAGCAACGUGUAAUUGGAAUGGGCUGAUUCCAAAAAUCUUAGCGAGGAACAAUUGGAGGAAAAGUCUGGUGCCAGCACCCGCGGUAAUUCCAGCUCCAAUAGCGUAUAUUAAAUUUGUUGCAGUUAAAAAGCUCGUAGUUGGAUUGAAAGAUUUUUUUUUCCUGGUCCGCCAGCAAAAGGUGAGCACUGGAAAAGAAAUCUUUAUUUUUUUGGACGCUAUUUUUUACUCUUCAUUGAGCAGAAAAUUGGCUCCAAAUACUUUACCUUGAAAAAAUUAGAGUGUUCAAAGCAAGUUUUUUGCUUGAAUAGUGCAGCAUGGGAUAAUAGAAUAAGAUUUCUGCUUAUUUUGUUGGUUUUUGAAGCGGAAAUAAUGAUUAAUAGAAACAAUUGGGGGUAUUCAUACGUGGUUGGGAGAGGUGAAAUUCUUGGAUCAAUCACAGAUGAACUAAUGCGAAAGCAUCUACCAAAUAUGUUUUCAUUGAUCAAGAACGAAAGUUUGGGGAUCGAAGACGAUCAGAUACCGUCGUAGUUCAAACUAUAAACUAUGCGGACCAAGGAUUGGAGAAUGUUACCGAAUGACAUUUUCAGCACUUUGUGAGAAAUCACAAGUCUUUGCGUUCUGGGGGGAGUAUGGUCGCAAGGCUGAAACUUAAAGAAAUUGACGGAACAGGAAACAAGGAGUGGAGCCUGCGGCUUAAUUUGACUCAACACGGGAAAACUUGCCUGGUCAGGACACAGGGAUGAUUGACAGAUUGAGAGCUCUUUCUUGAUUCUGUGGAUGGUGGUGCAUGGCCGUUCUUAGUUCGUGGAUUAAUCUGUCAAGUUAAUUCUGAUAACGAACGAGAUCUCAGCUUACUAAAUAGUUUUCUCAAAUUAUCUGUUUGAUGAAGUUUUCAAAUUUCUUUGGAUUUAUUUCAGAGUUUUUGGAGAUGGAUUCUUGAUGGAUUUGGAAAACUUCUUAGAAGGACUAGUUGGGCGAACCAACUGGAAGACUGAGGCAAUAACAGGUCUGUGAUGCCCUUCGAUGUCCAGGUCUGCACGCGCGCUACAAUGAUCGAAACAGAGAGCAUUCUUUUCCUGAAUUGAAAAAUUUGGGAGAUCUUAGAAUUUCGAUCGUGCCUUGGGGAUAGAUCAUUGUAAUUAUUGGUCUUUAACGAGGAAUUCCUAGUAAGUACAAGUCAUCAACUUGUGCUGACUGCGUCCCUUUUGUUUGUACACACCGCCCGUCGCUCCUACUGAUUGGAAGAUCCGGUGAAAUGUUUGGAUUUUUUUCAAUAAUAAUAGGGCAACUUAUUGUUUUGAAGAAGAGAAGAUCAUUGAACUGUAUUUUCUAGAAGAAGGAGAAGUCGUAACAAGGUUUCCG